AGAGUUUGAUCCUGGCUCAGAGCGAACGCUGGCGGCAGGCCUAACACAUGCAAGUCGAACGAACUCUUCGGAGUUAGUGGCGGACGGGUGAGUAACACGUGGGAACGUGCCUUUAGGUUCGGAAUAGCUCCUGGAAACGGGUGGUAAUGCCGAAUGUGCCCUUCGGGGGAAAGAUUUAUCGCCUUUAGAGCGGCCCGCGUCUGAUUAGCUAGUUGGUGAGGUAAAGGCUCACCAAGGCUACGAUCAGUAGCUGGUCUGAGAGGAUGACCAGCCACAUUGGGACUGAGACACGGCCCAAACUCCUACGGGAGGCAGCAGUGGGGAAUCUUGCACAAUGGGCGAAAGCCUGACGCAGCCAUGCC
rnacentral:rRNA from 1 species